GCUCAGGAUGAACGCUGGCGGCGUGCUUAACACAUGCAAGUCGAACGGUGAAGCAGAGCUUGCUCUGUGGAUCAGUGGCGAACGGGUGAGUAACACGUGAGCAACCUGCCCCUGACUCUGGGAUAAGCGCUGGAAACGGCGUCUAAUACUGGAUAUGUGACGUGACCGCAUGGUCUGCGUCUGGAAAGAAUUUCGGUUGGGGAUGGGCUCGCGGCCUAUCAGCUUGUUGGUGAGGUAAUGGCUCACCAAGGCGUCGACGGGUAGCCGGCCUGAGAGGGUGACCGGCCACACUGGGACUGAGACACGGCCCAGACUCCUACGGGAGGCAGCAGUGGGGAAUAUUGCACAAUGGGCGGAAGCCUGAUGCAGCAACGCCGCGUGAGGGAUGACGGCCUUCGGGUUGUAAACCUCUUUUAGCAGGGAAGAAGCGAAAG
rnacentral:rRNA from 1 species